GAUGAACGCUGGCGGCGUGCUUAACACAUGCAAGUCGAACGAAGCACCUUGAUUUGAUUCUUCGGAUGAAGAUCUUGGUGACUGAGUGGCGGACGGGUGAGUAACGCGCGGGUAACCUGCCUCAUACAGGGGGAUAACAGUUAGAAAUGACUGCUAAUACCGCAUAAGACCACAGCACCGCAUGGUGCAGGGGUAAAAACUCCGGUGGUAUGAGAUGGACCCGCGUCUGAUUAGGUAGUUGGUGGGGUAACGGCCUACCAAGCCGACGAUCAGUAGCCGACCUGAGAGGGUGACCGGCCACAUUGGGACUGAGACACGGCCCAAACUCCUACGGGAGGCAGCAGUGGGGAAUAUUGCACAAUGGGGGAAACCCUGAUGCAGCGACGCCGCGUGAGCGAUGAAGUAUUUCGGUAUGUAAAGCUCUAUCAGCAGGGAAGAAAAUGACGGUACCUGACUAAGAAGCACCGGCUAAAUACGUG
rnacentral:rRNA from 1 species